AUUGAACGCUGGCGGCAUGCCUUACACAUGCAAGUCGAACGGUAACGGGUCUUCGGAUGCUGACGAGUGGCGAACGGGUGAGUAACACAUCGGAACGUGCCUAGUAGUGGGGGAUAACUACUCGAAAGAGUGGCUAAUACCGCAUGAGAUCUACGGAUGAAAGCAGGGGAUCGCAAGACCUUGUGCUACUAGAGCGGCCGAUGGCAGAUUAGGUAGUUGGUGGGAUAAAAGCUUACCAAGCCGACGAUCUGUAGCUGGUCUGAGAGGACGAUCAGCCACACUGGGACUGGCACACGGCCCAGACUCCUACGGGGGGCAGCAGUGGGGAAUUUUGGACAAUGGGCGCAAGCCUGAUCCAGCAAUGCCGCGUGCAGGAUGAAGGCCUUCGGGUUGUAACUGCUUUUGUACGGAACGAAAAGCCCUGGGUUAAUACCCUGGGGUCAUGACGGUACCGUAAGAAUAAGCACCGGCUAACUACGUGCCAGCAGCCGCCGUAA
rnacentral:rRNA from 1 species